UCUACGGGUGGCAGCAGUGAGGAAUAUUUGUCAAUGGGCGUAAGCCUGAACCAGCCAAGUCGCGUGAGGGAUGAAGGUUCUAUGGAUCGUAAACCUCUUUUAUAAGGGAAUAAAGUGUGGGACGUGUCCUAUUUUGUAUGUACCUUAUGAAUAAGGAUCGGCUAACUCCGUGCCAGCAGCCGCGGUAAUACGGAGGAUCCGAGCGUUAUCAGGAUUUAUUGGGUUUAAAGGGUGCGUAGGCGGCCUUGUAAGUCAGCGGUGAAAGUCUGUGGCUCAACCAAGGAAUUGACGUUGAAACUGGGGGGCUUGAGUAUGUUUGAGGCAGGCGGAAUGCGUGGUGUAGCGGUGAAAUGCUUAGAUAUCAGGCAGAACACCGAUUGCGAAGGCAGCCUGCCAAGCCAUGACUGACGCUGAUGCACGAAGGCGUGGGGAUCAAACAGGAUUAGAUACCCGAGUAGUC
rnacentral:rRNA from 1 species